ACCAAUGUGACCUGCAGCUUCUGCCA
rnacentral:misc_RNA from 1 species